AUACGUAGGUGACAAGCGUUAUCCGGAUUUACUGGGCGUAAAGGGCGUGUAGGCGGUCUUGCAAGUCAGAAGUGAAAUUCCUGAGCUCAACUCGGGCGCUGCUUCUGAAACUGCAGGACUUGAGUGCUGGAGGGGAUAGCGGAAUUCCUAGUGGAGCGGUAAAAUGUGCAGAUAUUAGGAAGAACACCGGUGGGGAAGGCGGCUAUUUGGACAUUAACUGCGGCUGAGGGGCGAAAGCUUGGGGAGCAAACAGGAUUAGAUCCCCUGGUAGUCCACGCCGUAAACGAUGAAUACUAGGUGUAGGGGGUAUCGACUCCCUCUGUGCCGCAGUUAACACAAUAAGUAUUCCGCCUGGGUAGUACGGCCGCAAGGUUGAAACUCAAAUGAAUUGACGGGG
rnacentral:rRNA from 1 species